AGCGAACGCUGGCGGCAGGCUUAACACAUGCAAGUCGAACGGGCACUUCGGUGCUAGUGGCAGACGGGUGAGUAACACGUGGGAACGUACCUUUCGGUUCGGAAUAAUCCAGGGAAACUUGGACUAAUACCGGAUACGCCCUUCGGGGGAAAGAUUCAUCGCCGAUAGAUCGGCCCGCGUCUGAUUAGCUAGUUGGUGAGGUAAUGGCUCACCAAGGCGACGAUCAGUAGCUGGUCUGAGAGGAUGAUCAGCCACAUUGGGACUGAGACACGGCCCAAACUCCUACGGGAGGCAGCAGUGGGGAAUAUUGGACAAUGGGCGCAAGCCUGAUCCAGCCAUGCCGCGUGAGUGAUGAAGGCCUUAGGGUUGUAAAGCUCUUUUGUCCGGGAAGAUAAUGACUUUACCGGAAGAAUAAGCCCCGGCUAACUUCGUG
rnacentral:rRNA from 1 species